GUUCAAUUCCUUUGCUGCCACCUUAGUCGCCUGGCAACAGUUCAAAUGAAUGGGUGUUGUGUAGGCCCACGGAUACGUGUUAUUUGCCCUUUUGUGCCCAGCCUGUUAUGGGGCCAGUGUCUGAAUCAAGCUGGGCCAGUCUUGCUCCGUGGUGCUUUAGUUUAUGGUGUUUCGAGGCCAAUGUUGUUGGAUCUACUCAUUAAAAGAAUGCAAUGCAUGGCCUUUUGAUCUCCAUUGAAAACACCUAUACGUCGACGGUCGACAGUUCACGUACUGCCUGCCUGUGUGACAGACCUCCACGCACCACUCCAUCGCUCCCAACUGGGCCAGCAGUAGGCAGUGUUUUGUUUGUGUGUUUGUCGGUGUGUGCAUGCUGUGUUAACAAGUUUGCUGUUUCUGUGUGUGUCACUUUGUGCAUGAUGUGUUUAGAGGUAUGUUACUGUCUGUCAGUGUUUUCACAAGUGCCAAUCUGCAAAUAAAGAUUAAAAUGUGCAUGUA